rnacentral:rRNA from 1 species
ACAAGCGGUGGAGCAUGUGGUUAAUUCGAUGAUACGCGAAGAACCUUACCGGGGUUUGACAUGCAGGUGAUCGCCGUUGAAAGACGGUUUCCUCUUCGGAGGCACCUGCACAGGUGCUGCAUGGCUGUCGUCAGCUCGUGUCGUGAGAUGUUCGGUUAAGUCCGCUAACGAGCGCAACCCUUGCUGUGUGUUACAUGUGUCACACGGGACUGCCGGUCUUAAACCGGAGGAAGGUGGGGAUGACGUCAAGUCAGCAUGGCCUUUAUGUCCUGGGCUACACACACGCUACAAUGGCCGGUACAAUAGGUUGCGAAGCCGCGAGGCGGAGCCAAUCCUCAAAGCCGGCCUCAGUUCAGAUUGCAGGCUGCAACCCGCCUGCAUGAAGAUGGAGUUGCUAGUAACCGCAGGUCAGCUAUACUGCGGUGAAUACGUUCCCGGGGCUU